AUCCACGGAUGAGUAAUAGCCCUACGUCCUACAUAUAUGUCUUUAUUGUUGAGAGGAUUACAAUGGUCAUGAACUUGUAGGUCAACUCCAUAUCAGACACACAAUAUGCAUGAAAAUUGAAAAAGGAUACUACUAAGUCGUAGAAUAGAAAGGGAUAAUUAAAUGACCAAUUGAACUUGUCAUCAGUUCACACAAUUGACCAUAUCACUAUAUUAGAACACACAAAAAAAUAGAAAGGGGGGGAAGGCCCCUGCCUCUGCAUCAUCUAGAUGGACACAUCCAAAUAAAGCAGAUCUGACAGGUUCACACAUACCUGGGCAUUGUAAGUAAAUUUUGGUACUCCAGAAAAUACUACACAUAACGACCACCAAUGCUAGACCAUCAGGAGCUGAUGGAGAUUUACCAAUUUCCGCCAAUGACUGCAUCGACUCUGCUGUUUCCCCAUUGCUUCCUAAAUAAAUAAAAUUGCAUAAAGCAUCCAAAUUUCAACAAUUAACCAAUGGGUGUACACUACUGGGGUUCGACAUCGAAAUUUUAGUACUAAAUCAUCUUGGGCGCUUGAAAUAAUCAGAAAAAAAGGACAACUCGGGACUUGCACUGAUCAGAAAAAUAGGAGGUGGUUACUGAACAUACCUAACCAAAACCAAGGGUCCAGGGCGAGUGACCGACGAGCCGACGAGG
rnacentral:lncRNA from 1 species